GGCUCGGUGGUGGAUGGUCCACGUCUGCUUUCCAUUAUCCACGGAGACUAUGCCAUUGCUUAGCAGGAGACGCUCGUUCGAUUCGGGCCUGAGCCA